rnacentral:tRNA from 1 species
UUCCUGGUGGUCCAGUGGCUAAGACCCCAAACUCGCAAUACGGGGGCCCAGGUUCGAUCCCUGGUCAGGGAA